AAGGUACAGAGUUGCGGAAUCAAUCUUAUACCCUGGAUGUCCAGAAACAGGGUUGUGAGCCGCUGCCAGCUUCAACUUCCUGCCCUGGUCCCAGCCUGGACUGUUUGCUGAGCGAGGAGUGUCACGUGACAUCUGAAAUGAGUAUCAUACUGACUUCUGACACACUGGUUUACUCUCUGGUGAUACCACACAUGCAGUUGUUUCCUGUGGUGCUUGUAAAUAUCCUGGACGCGCAUCUGACACGGAGCUGUGUGUCUGAAACCUUUAAGUUGCCUUUGAACUAAGGAUGCUGUUCUGCAAGUUGAAUAAAGCAGCAAAGAAAUCAAA